AUUGAACGCUGGCGGCAGGCCUAACACAUGCAAGUCGAGCGGAUGAAGGGAGCUUGCUCCUGGAUUCAGCGGCGGACGGGUGAGUAAUGCCUAGGAAUCUGCCUGGUAGUGGGGGAUAACGUCCGGAAACGGGCGCUAAUACCGCAUACGUCCUGAGGGAGAAAGUGGGGGAUCUUCGGACCUCACGCUAUCAGAUGAGCCUAGGUCGGAUUAGCUAGUUGGUGGGGUAAAGGCCUACCAAGGCGACGAUCCGUAACUGGUCUGAGAGGAUGAUCAGUCACACUGGAUCUGAGACACGGUCCAGACUCCUACGGGAGGCAGCAGUGGGGAAUAUUGGACAAUGGGCGAAAGCCUGAUCCAGCCAUGCCGCGUGUGUGAAGAAGGUCUUCGGAUUGUAGAGCACUUUAAGUUGGGAGGAAGGGCAGUAAGUUAAUACCUUGCUGUUUUGACGUUACCAACAGAAUAAGCACCGGCUAACUUCGUG
rnacentral:rRNA from 1 species